rnacentral:tRNA from 1 species
AGAGGAAUAUCGAAGUGGUCAUAACGAGGGUGUCUUGAAAACACCUUAUCCUUAUGGGAUACGUGGGUUCAAAUCCCACUUCCUCUG